ACUGGUCCUUUGAUGGCCGUAGGCGUCUCCUUGAAAAAUGCAGGGAUUUACACCUGUUUGGCCAAUAACUCUUUAACUAACAUCUCAAUGUCCAAGACCAUUAGUCUGGAUGUCACUGGCCACUCGCCAGCCCCUCCAUUCCUGUCCAGAGUUGGUCUAAUGCUGACGGCCCUGCUAGCCCUCUCUGCCUCUGAUCAACCACUGAGACCACCACAGUAAGCACACUGCAUGUCUGUCUGCUGGCUGGGAGCCAAUCACUCCCUUCCCUCUACCCUCACUGACUCCCCUUGCUGAUCUGGAAAAGGGCUGGAUAGAAAUAAGUAGUAUUGUCAAUAUUGUAAUUGCCUCAACUCACCACCAUAGGGCUGGGUUUAGCGUGCUUAGCUCCUUAGCUCUUUUCCAAUGCUUUUAGAAUGUGAGGAGAGUCAACAAGAGGUCAGAUGAGAGGGGCCUAUCCCCUUAGAAUAGAACCCACCUCUACGAUGUGUUUUUAUGUCAAUCAUCUCUAUAAACAUAUUUUAUUUUUUAAAACUAAAGUCUUGAAAACUGGUCUUCAACAAGGUAAUUGAAGGCGCAAAGAUUCACUGCUCAGUUGUGCUGCCUAUUUCUGUUUGUAAUUAAAUGUUCUUAGAUAUUCACUGCAA